rnacentral:rRNA from 1 species
CCUACGGGAGGCAGCAGUAGGGAAUCUUCCGCAAUGGACGAAAGUCUGACGGAGCAACGCCGCGUGAGUGAUGAAGGUUUUCGGAUCGUAAAGCUCUGUUGUUAGGGAAGAACAAGUGCAAGAGUAACUGCUUGCACCUUGACGGUACCUAACCAGAAAGCCACGGCUAACUACGUGCCAGCAGCCGCGGUAAUACGUAGGUGGCAAGCGUUGUCCGGAAUUAUUGGGCGUAAAGGGCUCGCAGGCGGUUUCUUAAGUCUGAUGUGAAAGCCCCCGGCUCAACCCGGGGAGGGUCAUUGGAAACUGGGAAACUUGAGUGCAGAAGAGGAGAGUGGAAUUCCACGUGUAGCGGUGAAAUGCGUAGAGAUGUGGAGGAACACCAGUGGCGAAGGCGACUCUCUGGUCUGUAACUGACGCUGAGGAGCGAAAGCGUGGGGAGCGAACAGGAUUAGAUACCCUGGUAGUCCACGCCGUAAACGAUGAGUGCUAAGUGUUAGGGGGUUUCCGCCCCUUAGUGCUGCAGCUAACGCAUUAAGCACUCCGCCUGGGGAGUACGGUCGCAAGACUGAAACUCAAAGGAAUUGACGGGGGCCCGCACAAGCGGUGGAGCAUGUGGUUUAAUUCGAAGCAACGCGAAGAACCUUAC